GUGUGCAGACGAAAAUAUGCAUGUGAGUGCUAGAAAUUCGUAAAUUACAUUAUUUCAUUGACUGUUUUUGUUAAAAACACGUGAUGACAAGCUCAGCAAAUCUAUUCAUGGUGGUUUACGUGGCAAAUUGGCUUUCCUUUGUGGGAUAAUGCCAUUUUCAUUAGCUCUACUUUGAUUAGCGUAUGACAGGUGUUCGUGUAAAAUAAGCAAUUUUACCUAUUUCCUUCAUCAGUUUGGUAGCUGAAACAGCUACCAAUUUACUUCCACUAUGACAGUUUCCAGUAACAUAUGCUACUGAUUGGCUAAUAUUAGCCAAUCAGAUCUCUGGAGUUCCCCGCAGUGCGUUACAACUAUGACGCGGCAAAGACAUAUUUGGACAUAUCAUUUCUAUAUUGAUAUGCCUAUCUACACUGCAUUGGCCUUGCGUGGAUGUCAUCAAGUGAAAUAUUUUGGCUUAAGGUCAGUGAGACGCUAGUCGCUACUCUUCUAUACGCUAUGCCCUUUUUCAAUAUGAAUACGGUGUCGUGUUCUGACUGCAGACUCCUGACUUUUCUGGCGGCAGCAGAAAAGUACUCCAGCCCAGCAGACUCCAGCCGAGCCGCACCCAGUGACGGCCGACGCCGAGCGGCCGGUCGGCGCUCCAGACGGGCCGCGCCGCCGGCCAGCCCACCGCCAGGCACUGCACCAGUAGCGGCCGCGCCUGCCCGGCCAGUACCCGGGCCGCGCACACUGCGGCUGACGUGCAGCCCGCCGCCGCCGCAGUCGCCGACCCACGGACGGAUACACGGCCACCUACGUCCGGCUGGCCGACCAGACCACCCUGACCAGGUCUAUCCGCCGACCGGAGCUGGUGCUGCUCCUCAAACACCUGCGGCCCAACACGGCAUACUCAGUCCCGAUGAGCGCCUGUAACCGAGCCGGCCAGGGUCCUGCCAGCUCGCCCGUCACCGCCACCACAGAGGAGGGAGUGCCGGAGGUGGCGCCGCGUCAGCUGACCUGCCGGGUCGUGUCACCCUCCUCCAUCGGUCUCAGCUGCCUGUGGCUGGCCGGCGGCGCGUGCUGGCGGCGCGAGGGCCAGCUCCCGGCCGACCUGGACGUGGCCGAGUUGUGCAGUCUGCUGCCGGUCACAGUCUACCAGCUGUUGGUGAGCGCCCACAGCGCGGCCGGCACCACAGAGUCUACCACCCGGCUGGCCAUCCACGCCGCAGACGGAGCAAUGAUAUCUCCGCUGCCGCCGCCAGAAAAGUCUGUCAAUGGGAGGCAGUGACGCCGGGGCUCAGAACCGGGAGGGCGAUCCGUCGGAGCGGUUAGCUGUGAACUGGCCACGGCCGGGUAGAGCCCACCGUACUCCCGGGACACCUGCUGAAUCGUCAGCUGACUAGUGACGUCCUUAACUCCAGAGGUGCUGUCUUGGACGUGGAACCUGCCGCCCAGCUGGUCGGCGCUGACGCCGUCCCUCGUCCAGGUGACAGCCGGCGGCGGUGACGCGGUGGCCGCACAGGUGAAUGUGACCGCAGUGUCCACCACCGGCUGCACCGUCUGCUGAACCAGCGACAACAGCAGCCGAGCCGGCAACGCUCCGAUCCUGACCUGGGUGGUGGCGAGGUCAUCGGUCACGUGACACUGGUACAUGCCGGCCACGGACGGGUUGCCGCCGGUCAGCUGCAGAGCCGGCUGGCUGGCGGCGGCGGGCAGACGGCGGCCGUCCUUGAACCAGAUGAUGUCGCCGG